CAAACUCUAUGCGGUGGAUCACUCGGCAUCGUGCGUCGAUGAAGAGCGCAGCCAGCUGCGUGAAUUAAUGUGAAUUGCAGGACACACUGAACAUCGACACCUUGAACGCACAUUGCGGCUCUGGCUCACUGCCAGAGCCACGCCUGUCCGAGGGUCGGCG
rnacentral:rRNA from 1 species